GGGUCACACCCGUUCCCAUUCCGAACACGGAAGUUAAGCCAUUCAGCGCCGAUGGUACUUGGGCCGUCAGGCCCUGGGAGAGUAGGACGCCGCCGGAU
rnacentral:rRNA from 1 species